GGUAAAGUACCUUUUAUUCAUGUGGGAAAUCAAGUAGUAUCAGAACUUGGUCCAAUAGUCCAAUUUGUUAAAGCCAAGGGCCAUUCUCUUAGUGAUGGGCUGGAGGAAGUCCAAAAAGCAGAAAUGAAAGCUUACAUGGAAUUAGUCAACAAUAUGCUGUUGACUGCAGAGCUGUAUCUUCAGUGGUGUGAUGAAGCUACAGUAGGGGAGGCCUACUGAACUUGACGCACUGGUAUUUGGCCAUCUAUACACCAUUCUUACCACACAAUUGACAAAUGAUGAACUUUCUGAGAAGGUGAAAAACUAUAGCAACCUCCUUGCUUUCUGUAGGAGAAUUGAACAGCACUAUUUUGAAGAUCGUGGUAAAGGCAGGCUGUCAUAGAGUUAUGUGUUAGUCUCAGGAGUCUUAACUUUUGAAAUAUGUUUUACUUGAAUGUUACAUUAGAUAUUGGUGUCAGAAUUUUAAAACCAAAUUACUGCUUUUUGAAACCUCAAAUUAUAUAAUGUAUCUUAUGUAUGUGCUUUAUAUUGUUAUUUGUGUAUACAUUAAAAUAAUUCUGAAUUAUUUAAUCUGAUAUGUUGUAUUCUGUAUCUUGAAAUUUUUGUUUCCUUGAAACAUGCAUGCAUUUAAAAAUAAAGCUUAAACAACUG
rnacentral:lncRNA from 1 species